UAAACGACUCUCGGCAACGGAUAUCUCGGCUCUCGCAUCGAUGAAGAACGUAGCGAAAUGCGAUACUUGGUGUGAAUUGCAGAAUCCCGUGAACCAUCGAGUCUUUGAACGCAAGUUGCGCCCGAAGCCUCGGCUGAGGGCACGCCUGCCUGGGUGUCACACAU
rnacentral:rRNA from 4 species